GGCUUUUCCGGGAGGUGAGGGAAGGGACAGAGGCAGCACAUCAGUCCCCUCCCCCACCUCCCGGAAAAGCC